rnacentral:lncRNA from 1 species
UAGCUGUCAAAAGUGUGAGAGAUAAUGCAUGUAUCUAACACUCGAACUACAAAAGCAUAUAUAAAAACAGUUACUAUAGAAAACGAUUAGUGUCCAACGGAUUAACUUGUCAUGGUCAGAGUGAUUUCCAUCACGACAAACAUAUACUGAACAAUAGAAUUAAUUAAACACAAAGAAAUGUAAAAGGUUUGAUAAACGAUUAAAUAAAUUGUCACUAUAGCACUUAAAAUAUAUUGUCUGAACUGGAUUUAUUUCUAAUUGCAAAUAGUCCAAAUCUCCCUGGUUAUAAUACUCAAAGUAUUUGAAAAUUCAAAGAACAUCGUUUCAUAGACUAAAAGAAAAGCAAUAUACAACAAUAAGACAUCAAUUCAAAGACAAAAAUAACUACGAAAUGGUAGAUAUUCAGUCUAAAACAAUAGACGAAACUCGGAAUUCAUAUUACAGAAAAUGUAACUUAACAAAAACUUAACACGAACCGAACAAAUUACCGGAGGGAAUGCAAUAUGUGCAUCCUGGUUGGUAAGACAUUGCUGCAAAAUACCUUGAGGUUAUACAAGCAACACAUUUUGGUUAGGAAAUGCUAAUUGUUAACAGCCAAAAUUAUACAAUGUCAAAAAAUAGAAUAAUGAUACAAUAAAACAAAUCUCACCUUUGACUUGGUUAUGGAUCAAGCGCUCUAUGAGGUGUCGUUUAAAUAACGUUGAAUAUUUAUAUGAAAUAACUGCAUUUACUGACCAAUAGAUAUAUCUGUUGUCUGAAUGUAGGCGAACAGGUGACUCCUCCUGGUAUAUCUCAUUAAAGAUUGAUUUCAAAACAAAUUGAUGCAGCUGUUCCUUUCUUCGUAUAUCACGAUAGAAUCUCCCAUACAAUGCAAACAAUGUCCGAUUUACUAAACAAUUGUUUAACCCUGCCACAGUUCACUCCCCGGUAAAAGGUCAAGAAUCUCGCUUUUUAAUUCUCCUAAAAAUGGAAAUAACACUACAUACAUUUUGUCUGAAAAGAUAUUCUUGAUUAAUUUUAUUUUAAUCAGGAACGGUUUAAUCCAAAGAUUUGGAAGUCAAAAAUGUAUAUAAGUACUUAGUUAAACGAGGGACUUAAAGGGGCACUAGCUGUCAAAUUCAUGUUCACCGAUUUGACUCAGAUUCUCAUAUUUGAUUUAUAACAAUGUAAAACAUUUAUCCAAACUAUCAAAAGUCUAAAAUAAACAAUUUACAGAGCAUGGGGUAGAUAAUAUAUAGGUUCGUUUCGUGUGUAUUUUAGUCCAGACGCCAUCUAAUUAACUAUCGAUUUGACCUCAGAUGACCAUAUAAGCGAUGUAAACAUAAAUAAAGAUAUGAAUAGAUUAAACCAACACGUGCAAUUUGAUUUUUUAUAGGUCUGUUUGAUUUGAUUUUAUAGAUUAAAAAUAGAUGUUUCUCAUUGUUUUUAACCGUAUAAGAAUGAUUUUAUGUGCAUCGAAUUAGUAAUCAAAUGAUUUACCGUAGUUUCACUUUCAUUGUUGACAUUCUUUUUCUUUAAAUAACCAGUACACGUACAAUGCAUGCGUUGUCAAUCUCUAGCUAGGGGUUAAAUUGAAGUUCACAUGAAUACGGAUUUAAAGAG